AGUCCUGUGACGCAGUGGCUAGCGUGUCGUUCUUAUAUUCUUCCCCAAGCGGGAUCAAUAUGGCCUCUGGGUUAUGCGAAAGUCGAGGGUUCGACCCCCUCCAGGACUA